rnacentral:rRNA from 1 species
UAUUGUUAGAAAUUUACUGAAAAGGUAAAUUAUAAUAAAUGUAAAUAUACCUUUUGCAUAAUGGUUAAACAAUAAAAACUAAGAUUUAUAUAUCCCGAAGUUAGAAGAUCUAAUUUUAUUAAAUUUAUUAGAAAAAUAAUGUUUCAAAAUUAUAAAUAAAUAAAAUUAGGGGUGAAAGGCUUAUCAAUUCUAUUGAUAUCUGGAAUAAUUUUAAAUGUACUUAGUACAGAACAAAUUUGAGUAAAAAAAUGUUAAGAUUUUUUUAAUAAGAAUAAUAAUUCAUAAAACUGUUUAAAAUCCUUAUUUUUCAUUAUAUUAAAAAUUAUUUAUUUUAAUAUCUUCAGUAAAAUUAUGUUUAAAUUCUUUAAGAUUUAAUUAUGUUUAAAUUAGUAUUAUUCUUAUUUUAAAAUAAGGAACUCGGCUAAUUAUUCGUCUGUUUAUCAAAAACAUAGUCUUAUGAUAUAAGGUUAGACCUGCCCAUUGAGUAUUUUAACGGCCGCAGUACCUUGACUGUGCUAAGGUAGCAUAAUAAAUUGACCUUUAAUUGGGGCCUUGAAUGAAAGGAUUGAUAAUUUCUGUCUUUAUUAACUAAUUAAAAUUUACUUAAAAGGUGAAAAUUCCUUUAAGAAUUAAAAAAGACGAGAAGACCCUAGGAGUUUACUGUUUUGUUGGGGCGACAAUGUAACAUAACUUACAUUAUUUAAAAUUUAACAAUAAUUAUAAUAAAAAAUAAACUACCCUAGGGAUAACAGCAUAAUUUAUUAAGUUUGUGACCUCGAUGUUGGA